AUAUCUAGUGUAGUUACAAAACAAUAACCGUCAGUGGCCGCAUUCAAAUAGUGAAUUAUUUUUUUGAUCGGGUCAAUGGGACAUAAUAUAUUCUGACGACUGCGAUGAAUACGAAAAUUAAAAUAUAUUGUAUUUUUUCCACGUAAAUUUCUAGUCAUAAAACGAAUUCGUUAGCAGAAAAUUAAAAUCUAUACAAUUUAUUAACGAGACGAG